ACGUUAGCGGCGGACGGGUGAGUAACACGUGGGUAACCUACCUAUAAGACUGGGACAACUUCGGGAAACCGGAGCUAAUACCGGAUAAGAUAUCGAACCGCAUGGUUCGAUAGUGAAAGAUGGUUUUGCUAUCACUUAUAGAUGGACCCGCGCCGUAUUAGUUAGUUGGUGAGGUAACGGCUCACCAAGGCAACGAUACGUAGCCGACCUGAGAGGGUGAUCGGCCACACUGGAACUGAGACACGGUCCAGACUCCUACGGGAGGCAGCAGGG
rnacentral:rRNA from 1 species